rnacentral:tRNA from 1 species
UAAUUAUUUAGUUUAACAAAACACUAUUUUUUCAAUAUAGAGAUAAAUAACAGUUUAAUAAUUU